rnacentral:lncRNA from 1 species
GGACACUCCAAGCAGGGCUGGGUUCAUGGUAAUGCGACCUGUGCAUUCUCACAGGAACCCAGGCUUAGAAAGGCCCCACUCUUAGUUUAACGCUUUGCUGUUGCAAUCUUGAAUUUCUUAAUCAUUUUUAUAAAAGGGGCCUUGCAUUUUUAUUUUGCACUGGGCCUACAAGUUAGGUCGCCUGUCCCUGCUGCGAGGCUGCCUCUCAAGGUCGGCUGCAUCUGCCAUCCCCUCCUCAGGAGAGGGGGCUGCGGAUUUAAGUAAAGCCAGAAGCUCUCCUUGAAACAGAGUCGUCAUCCAAAGCUGGUGGGGGUUUUCCCGAGAUAUAUCUGGGUCUCCCAUGCAGAACUGGAAAAACAAAUAAAAGUUGCUCGCCGUGAUAAUUGGGAUCCAUUGAUUCAAAGGCCAAGACAGGCGCCACGCUAAUUAAUGGGGGAAGCGUCCUUCUUUUCCGCUCCACGUGGAUUUGGACUUCACUCUCAGAGGAAAAGUCAAGAGCCCCGUGUUUGACUCCAGAACGACUCCUGUGGGUGCAGGCUCGGCCGCGAGACAUUCGGGUGGAAAGCUGCUCAGGAUGCCUACCACGACGGAUUCUUAGGGUCUCCAAAUACCCCCUCUUGUAACCAAAAUGUCUUAGCUCAGAACGUUUUCAUGUUGUAGCUCUGCGUGUGUGCGUGUGUGUGUGUGAGUGAGAGUGUGUGUGAGUGUGCACCCACCCACUGGCUGUAUUCAGUGGAAAGAAGGCUCAUGGGCCAAAAGCCCAUUUGGGUUUGUUUGGGUGAGUAAGAAGUGACGGGAAUUCAGAGUGUACAAGAUUAUAAAUAUUACAGAGGUUAUUCAAAAUCUCA